rnacentral:lncRNA from 1 species
ACGGCACCUUGAUCGCCAUCUUUUCUUCACCAUCUUUGAAGGGUUCUGUCGAUAAUUUGAUUUGUGGUAUUUGACCAAUCAAUACUUUGAUUAUUUGAAGGUACGCGACCAGACAUCUGUUAGUUUUUGUGAAAUAAUUUAGAAAAAUAUUUUGAUUGGGCGAAAAUCUUGAUUUUGUAAAUUUUAAAAUUAAGGGUUAAAUGUAUAUUAAAUAUUUCUAUAAACUGAGUUUCAACUGUGAUUGAAAGGUUCUUCUAGCAGAAAAAAUUUAAAAUUUGAUAAUAUGUUCUGUAAAUUAGUGACCGGAUAAUCAUUUUAAAUUCUAAUGUAUCUUGGUAUUCUAUCAUGCUAAUGUUGGUCAUGUCGAAAUGUAUUCUGUUAUAGAAGCUAGCUUCAUCUCUGUAUUGCGUCUUCGGUUGCCUGUGCCUAUACGCGCCUCUGUUCUAUAUUUGCGCUUUCGAGCACUUCAUUCUAUAUAUGCACCUUCGGGUGUCUCUGUUCUGUUUUGCGUUGUCGGUGUCUCUGAAUCUCGCAAACGAAUUACACUAUAUAGCUAGUUACCAUAGACUUAAAUUUUUAUUUCUUAUUUGCUGGAAGAUAAAAUACUUUAUAAAUUUAUAAUUCCUAUUUGAUCUGAAUUUCAAAUUCUGAUAACCUUUGUUUUCUAAAAUUUUGCAAAUUAAAAACACCAGUCGCUUACCCAGAUUUCGCCAGUCACUUAAAUUAAUUUUUAUAUUUAUUUAUUUGUAUGCUUAAUUCGACUAAUGUGGUGUAUGAUUACUUGUACAGCUCGAAAAUAGCAACACUGAAUGACAUUAAUU